rnacentral:lncRNA from 1 species
UCCCAAUUUAUUUAUCGAUCACAAAUUACAAAUUUUAUAUAUCACAAUUUAUUACACAGUAAAAAAUUAUCGAGUUAUUAAGAAAAUUUUAGGUCACAUAUUAUUUAUUGGUCCCAAUCACCCAAAUAGUUUGUGACCACCGCCAAUACUAUUGCCUCCAUUCGCACCUCCGUCAACUCUGUCGCCCGACAACACCAUCGUCGUAGCAUGCUUCUAGCGCCAUAGGCACUACAACAAACUACCAUUUAUCAACUUCAAAACCAACCCCACCCCACGACCAACAAACUACUAUUUUCAACUACAAAACCACCGCCAGUGUUAAUGUCAACACCAACACCAACACCACCACCACCACUAUCAUCGUCACCGCCACCCGCACCACUACCACCAUCUUACCAUCAACGUCACGGCUAGCAGAAGCAACAGCACCACCUCCUGUACCAAAGAUCACAACCACCAUCUCCAUUACACUAUACCCACCAAAAAAAUUCCCAAACCCGCUGCUGCCACCAUCAUUGCAUCACUGUUACCACCUUAUCAAAUCCAUAGCAGACUGCAGUCCACAAUCACAACGUCGCUACAAGUCGUGCGAUCGCUGCUGCAGCCUGCACGCUUGUAGCAACGCUUACUGUGUGCAGCGAGGCACUGCUGCGCCGUGCGACGAUCACAAGGUACCGCUGCAAGAGGACCAGAUCGGUGUAGCGAUUGUGUUGCGCCACUAUGGUAGCACAGUGCUGCUACAAGAGGGGUAGAUCGGCGUCACAAUAAAGAUGGUGGGUGGUAUAGAGAGGGAUAAAGAUAGAAGAUGGAGAGAAAUGAUUUGGG